GCCGAUACGUGUUUGUAAUAAAUGGUAGAAGUAGAAAAGCUGUAACAAAUGUAUCAAAAAGCGGUAAGUCUGCCAAUGGAGAAGAGUAACAACAAACAUGGAGAGAGGAAUUCAGCAGCAAUUGGUUUCCCUUGGUUCUCCGUCCGUCACUCGUCACCGAAUCCCUCCCUGCCUGACUACCCGCCUGUCGCCAAACCCCUGCCUGCCUGACUACAUGCCUGUCGCCGAGUCCUUGCCUGCCUGACUGACUCCCUGUUGCAGAACCCUCGCCUGCCUGACUACUGCUUGCUUCGCCCCAUCUUGUCACCUACCCUGUCUCCCAAUAAACCCUGUUUUACCUUUUA
ensembl:lncRNA